rnacentral:rRNA from 1 species
AUAUAUCCCAUUGCUUGAGCUGUUGUGGAGGUUGAAAAUAAGGACUCCUGGUUCUGGUUUAUGUCAUCGUUAAAUAAAGACUUGGAGAUUCCAAGUCAAGGUGAAGGAUGGGUGUUCAUAUCAGAUCAACAGUCUAAUCAAUGCCAUCUCAAAGAUUGUACUAAAUGUUGA